rnacentral:rRNA from 1 species
UACGUAGGGCGCAAGCGUUGUCCGGAAUUAUUGGGCGUAAAGAGCUCGUAGGCGGUUUGUCGCGUCUAUCGUGAAAGCCCACGGCUUAACCGUGGGUCUGCGGUGGAUACGGGCAGACUAGAGGCAGGUAGGGGAGAAUGGAAUUCCCGGUGUAGCGGUGAAAUGCGCAGAUAUCGGGAGGAACACCGGUGGCGAAGGCGGUUCUCUGGGCCUGUACUGACGCUGAGGAGCGAAAGCGUGGGGAGCGAACAGG